CGAAUGAUUGAGUUUUUUUAGGGUCUGUUCGAAUGAUUGGGUUUUUUUUGGGUUUGUUAAGUAUAAGAUACUUCCAAAUGAUUUUUUUGGGGUUUUAAUCAUAGAUGCACGAUCGUGAUUUGUGGAAAUGUGUUCUGUGUAAUAUUUGUUCUGUCCAGUUCGUUUGAGAGUUGUUGAUUUAAUCUAAUUUUUGUAGGACGAUUUGAUCUAGUUUUUGUUUUCUUUUACUGAAUUUCGUGACAGAUUGGUACAAUUGUGUGAAAUUGGCAGAAGAUUUGUGGGUUGAGACAGCAAUGGGUGGAUCCCUUAUUUAUGAGGAUAGCAAAUUUGCUAAUAUUGGCAAUAUCGCAGUAUGAAGGGUGGCACAAGCACAAGUUGCGAGAUCAAGCCAGGAAGCGCAGGAAUGUAUGGCGAUGGAGAGAUGGAUUGAUUUGGCAUCCCUAAUUUUGACGUCUGCGGAUUUGGUUUUCUCUAAGGUUGCUGAGAAAGUUUAUGCAGAUGGAAGAUCUGUCUUGACAUUCUAUAAAACCAAUGGAGUCCCAUAUAUGAUGUUGCUGCUAUCCUAACGUCAAUUCAGGUCUAUACUCCGAGGACUGCGCCUUAUGCUAGUGAGGAAAUUGAUGUGGUUCGUGAGCAAUGGGCGAAGUUUUUUUACCAGCAAGUAUUUAUUAUUGACCUGAGGAAGCUUGAUCGAUUUGGUUUAGAUGUAUAGAACAAUCUUUUAUGUUAAAAUGCAUGCGUACGUUGAAAUUGGAACGUAUGUAUAUUUAAAUGUAUUAGUACGUGCACUUUGGUUUUGGAAUAUAUACAAAACUACAGUUAUUGCUU